rnacentral:rRNA from 1 species
GACGAACGCUGGCGGCGUGCUUAACACAUGCAAGUCGAGCGGUAAGGCCCUUUCGGGGGUACACGAGCGGCGAACGGGUGAGUAACACGUGGGUGACCUGCCCUCAGCUCUGGGAUAAGCCUGGGAAACCGGGUCUAAUACCGGAUAUGACUCCAUGACGCAUGUUGUGGGGUGGAAAGCCUUGUGCGGCUGAGGAUGGGCCCGCGGCCUAUCAGCUUGUUGGUGGGGUGAUGGCCUACCAAGGCGACGACGGGUAGCCGGCCUGAGAGGGCGACCGGCCGACACUGGGACUGAGACACGGCCCAGACUCCUACGGGAGGCAGCAGUGGGGAAUCUUGCGCAAUGGGCGAAAGCCUGACGCAGCGACGCCGCGUGGGGAUGACGGCC